rnacentral:lncRNA from 1 species
AUGUUUCAGCCUUUGGAGGAGUUUUUGAGCUUUUCUUCUGACAUUUCCCAUCGUCUUAAAUCCCCAUCUCUAUUCUUAAAGGUCUGUCUUUGGAAUUACUUGCUGUUUGUCGAGAAGGUGGAAAAGCAGCCUGGAUCCUCAGGAUUUGUGACACAACCACCGUAUCUGGAGGAUGAUGAUGACCCAUCCAGCCCACCAAGAGGAGGAUCCUGGAGCCAAAGAGAGUUUCAAUCAGUGCUAAAGCUAAAAGAGGAACAGCCUUUGGGAACAGUCUGGCUCCUACACCCAGGCAUAUGCAGAUCCACGUCAAAGAAAGAACAGUUUAUUCUUUGUUGA